GUUAGGAAUAUUGGACAAUGGGCGAAAGCCUGAUCCAGCCAUGCCGCGUGAACGAUGAAGGCCUUCGGGUUGUAAAGUUCUUUAGCCGAUGAUUAUAUUGACUGUAGUCGGAAAAUAAGCCCCGGCGAACUUCGUGCCAGCAGCCGCGGUAAUACGAAGGGGGCGAGCGUUAUUCGGAAUCACUGGGCGUAAAGCGUGCGUAGGCGGUUUUGUAAGUUAGGAGUGAAAGCCCAGGGCUCAACUUGGAAUUGCUCUUAAAACUGCAAGGCUCGAAUCUCGGAGAGGAUAGCGGAAUUUCCAGUGUAGCAGUGAAAUGCGUAGAUAUUGGAAGGAACACCAGUGGCGUAAGCGGCUAUCUGGACGAGUAUUGACGCGGAGGCACGAAAGCGUGGGGAUCAAACAGGAUUAGAAACCCGUGUAGUCC
rnacentral:rRNA from 1 species